CUUCUCUCUCUUUUUUAUUCUUUCCAUUUCCUUUAGUCUCUCAUGUUCCUCCCUCUCUCUCUCUCUCUCUCUCUCUCUCUCUCUCUCUGUGUGAAAUAUCUUUUAUUUAAUAAUAUCAUUCUAUACUUAUAUAAAAAAAUCUUAUAAUUAAAUAUUAGUUUUCUUAUCUCUCUUUCUCACACAUGGGAGAAGGGGUUCAUUCUAUCCUAAAAACACUAGCUGUGCUGCUCGAUAUUUUCUUUAUUCGUUGUUCGGUUGCUGUUUUUUCGAGGCAGAUCCGCAAGGAGAUCGAAGGUUUAUUUGAUCCUUACUUCCUUAGUCGAAGAAGUUUCUUGUUGAUUUGAAUGAUGCUUGAGAUGGAUCUAAUCGAUCUUCGUUUUUCUGGCGUACGAUUUCCGAUUGUAUUUCAGGAAAAAAUUGUGAGGUUAUUAUUCCGUGGAUUUUGUAUUCUACUGUUCUCUUCCUUUCCUCCCUUUGCACAUCUGAAUCAAUAAUAUUAAACCUAUUCUUUUUAGGUUGUCUUUGUUCAUAUAUAUCCCAUGGACCAUAUUUUCAAUUGCUUACAAUGGUUUUAAGUUUUCAUGUGGAAAUUCACACAAUAUCAUCUAAUUGGCAUUCCACAGUGCCGUUUUUUAAGAUCUGCAAUUAAUGGUAAGUUGGUUUGUUUAGUAUAUCCAUCAUGAGCAAUAUACAUUAUUAAGUAAUGGAACCAAUAUUUGAAUGUAAAUACUUUAAAAUAAGUUGAAAUUUAUAUCUAAAUAUUUGGCCACAUGUUUUGCAUCGUGAUUGGUCAUCUUCUUGAAGAGAAGUGAUGGGCUAAUGAGUCCAUCACAGAGUAAUAAAUAAUCCCCUUUGAGUUUAUUCCUGAGAAAUAAGGAAAACUUUCUUUUCAAUAUACAGCUUCAGUAUCAAAUUCUAGACUUGAGCUAGAUUCACUGACAUCUUCAUAUUUCUAACAUUGGGUUUCUGUUUUUUGGAGACUUUCUAGGAGCAAUUUUUCCAUUUAAAAGGAUUGGCAUGGCAUACUUGAGCACUCAAGAUUAUCUAGCUGUUGAUACCAUAUUAUCAGCCACAGAUUCUGAUUGCACAUUACAGGUUAUUAUGAUAAUGUCUAAAUAGAUCCAAAACAGUACUUGUGACUUAACAAUUAAAGAUAUGCUUCUAAUAUAUCUCAUCUUCGCUGUGUAAUAAAGGUUCUCAGUCAAGACAAGAAACCCUUACUUCAUAUAUAGUCUUGUGUUCGGUGAGGGAGUAGUGAAUGAUGCAACCUCAAUUGUACUCAUGCUUUCCUCUUUGUUUUUAACUAUUUGAUGUAUUGAACAUGUUAUGUGGUCAUGAACUAUUACACGAAACAUGAUGGUCCAAUUUGAGUGCUUUCCAGCCA